rnacentral:misc_RNA from 1 species
UAUUGACGGGAAAAAGCUUCUAAAUAGAAUGUUGCGUUAAUGUAACGUUGGUUCUUUAAUGUAUUAAAUCCUUCAAAAAUCUGUCCUUUGCUAUCGCAUUCCAAAUUUCCUACAUUCCAAUAAACUAUUCCCUGUGCCAUCUAUCGACUCGCAAGUUAGAAGCAUAAUGCUUUACCUUUCAGUCAACGAUCACGCUAGACAUAGUCGACGCAAAAGUGGUUUGGAUCCUGAGCCGAAGUCAGUGUUCGAAAGCCGACACGGUGAACACGGCAGGUCACCGUUCGAUCUGCGUUUGGAAUCCCGCCGCGGCGUUCCAAAGCGUUAAACUGCGUGCACGCGAUCUGCCGACACGUGUGCAGCAUGCACACGGUCUUUUUCAUGUGUGUAUUAGGCACGCACGUCUGAUGUACAGGUAUACAUACUUGUACACUCGCGCGUGUAUAACAUAUACAGGAUGUUUCAGAAAUCGAUGACCACGUUUUAAUAUCGUACUUUAUUCUUGCUAGAUGGAAAUAGAUCGCAUACACUGGCUCAUGACAGUGUCUGAACAUUUGUAAAUAUAUUAAUUUUGGUUUUGGAAACAGAGAAGCAAGUUGGCCAUCGGGAGCUGGUUGACCAUAGCAAGACCCACCGCGACGACCGGAAGAUUUAUAGGCUUUUGUAAGGUUACACAGCGAUUUGACCUAAGUGCAAUUAAGAGAGCAAAUGGUGAGGGACGUGUACGCCAGGGAUACUGCGACGUGUGCGGCUUUAGACCAGCACGAAUAGGGCGGACGUAAGUCGACAGAGACUGCUCUGCUCUGUUUCCACUACGAGAUGAACUAUCUGUUAUGGUUCGCAGGCUUCGGUUCGAGUGGAAGAUUGAUACCAUUAACGCGUUACGGAUGAAAUAAGAUGGUUUCUGUAAAUGUAUUUGAUGUGGUUUGGAAGGGUAUUGGGUGCCAGACCGAAGGGAAAGGGAUAGGGAUAGGUGCAAAAAGUAGGAGGAUUAGGUGGUUUGUCAAAGAGGGGUGAAAUAAAGUGUGAUAUAUAUGCGUUAAAGCUAUUGUAAUAGUACUUGUUAUUUAUGUAAUGAAGCGUAUCUUGUAUGGAAAAAGAUAAAGUGGGAUGGAAAAAUAUAUUUCUGUCUUUUUAUUGGUGUCGCUAGAGUACCAUCAAAAGGAAUUUGAAACAUUUAUAACAAACAAAUUUCUUGUUUUAUUAUAG